rnacentral:rRNA from 1 species
UUGAACGCUGGCGGAAUGCUUUACACAUGCAGGUCGAACGGCAGCACGGGGGCAACCCUGGUGGCGAGUGGCGAACGGGUGAGUAAUACAUCGGAACGUGCCCAGUCGUGGGGGAUAACGUAGCGAAAGCUACGCUAAUACCGCAUACGAUCUACGGAUGAAAGCGGGGGAUCGCAAGACCUCGCGCGAUUGGAGCGGCCGAUGGCAGAUUAGGUAGUUGGUGGGGUAAAGGCUCACCAAGCCGACGAUCUGUAGCUGGUCUGAGAGGACGACCAGCCACACUGGGACUGAGACACGGCCCAGACUCCUACGGGAGGCAGCAGUGGGGAAUUUUGGACAAUGGGCGCAAGCCUGAUCCAGCCAUUCCGCGUGCAGGAUGAAGGCCCUCGGGUUGUAAACUGCUUUUGUACGGAACGAAAAGGCUCUGGUUAAUACCCGGUGCUCAUGACGGUACCGUAAGAAUAAGCACCGGCUAACUACGU